rnacentral:rRNA from 1 species
GAUGAACGCUGGCGGCGUGCCUAAUACAUGCAAGUCGAGCGAACAGAUGAGGAGCUUGCUCCUCUGACGUUAGCGGCGGACGGGUGAGUAACACGUGGAUAACCUACCUAUAAGACUGGGAUAACUUCGGGAAACCGGAGCUAAUACCGGAUAAUAUAUUGAACCGCAUGGUUCAAUAGUGAAAGACGGUUUUGCUGCCACUUAUAGAUGGAUCCGCGCCGUAUUAGCUAGUUGGUAAGGUAACGGCUUACCAAGGCAACGAUGCGUAGCCGACCUGAGAGGGUGAUCGGCCACACUGGAACUGAGACACGGUCCAGACUCCUACGGGAGGCAGCAGUAGGGAAUCUUCCGCAAUGGGCGAAAGCCUGACGGAGCAACGCCGCGUGAGUGAUGAAGGUCUUCGGAUCGUAAAACUCUGUUAUUAGGGAAGAACAAAUGUGUAAGUAACUAUGCACGUCUUGACGGUACCUAAUCAGAAAGCCACGGCUAACUACGUG